rnacentral:rRNA from 1 species
UUGCACAAUGGAGGAAACUCUGAUGCAGCCUGCCGCGUGUGUGAAGAAGGCUUUCGGGUUGUAAAGCACUUUCAGCGAGGAGGAAAGGGUGCAGGUUAAUAUCCUGUAUCUGUGACGUUACUCGCAGAAGAAGCACCGGCUAACUCCGUGCCAGCAGCCGCGGUAAUACGGAGGGUGCGAGCGUUAAUCGGAAUUACUGGGCGUAAAGCGCGCGUAGGCGGUUAAUUAAGUCAGAUGUGAAAGCCCAGGGCUCAACCUUGGAACUGCAUUUGAAACUGGUUAACUAGAGUUUUGUAGAGGGUGGUAGAAUUUCAGGUGUAGCGGUGAAAUGCGUAGAGAUCUGAAGGAAUACCAGUGGCGAAGGCGGCCACCUGGACAAAGACUGACGCUGAGGCGCGAAGGCGUGGGGAGCAAACGGGAUUAGAUACCCCGGUAGUCCACGCAGUAAACGAUGUCUAUUAGAAGUUUGUGGCUAUAUGCCGUGGGUUUCAAAGCUAACGCAUUAAAUAGACCGCCUGGGGAGUACGGCCGCAAGGUUAAAACUCAAAUGAAUUGACGGGGGCCCGCACAAGCGGUGGAGCAUGUGGUUUAAUUCGAUGCAACGCGAAGAACCUUACCAUCCCUUGACAUCCAGAGAAUCUGUUAGAGAUAGUAGAGUGCCUUMKGGAACUCUGAGACAGGUGCUGCAUGGCUGUCGUCAGCUCGUGUUGWGAAAUGUUGGGUUAAGUCCCGYAACSAGCGCAACCCUUAUCCUUAGUUGCCAGYACGUAAUGGUGGGAACUCUAGGGAGACUGCCGGUGAUAAACCGGAGGAAGGUGGGGACGACGUCAGUCAUCAUGGCCCUUACCGGAUGGGCCUACACACUUGCUACAAUGGSAAAUACAAAAGGG